ACGGGGUGCAGCAGGCGCGAAAACUUUGCAAUGUGCGAAAGCGCGACAAGGUUAAUCCGAGUGAUUUCUGCUAAAGAAAUCUUUUGCUAGUCCUGGAAACACUAGUGAAUAAGGGGUGGGCAAGUUCUGGUGUCAGCCGCCGCGGUAAAACCAGCACCUCAAGUGGUCAGGAGGUUUAUUGGGCCUAAAGCAUCCGUAGCCGGUUGCAUAAGUUUUCGGUUAAAUCUAUGCGCUUAACGUAUAGGCCGCCGAAAAUACUGUGCAGCUAGGGAGUGGGAGAGGUACACGGUACUCGAUAGGAAGGGGUAAAAUCCUUUGAUCUAUUGAUGACCACCUGUGGCGAAGGCGGUGUACCAGAACACGUUCGACGGUGAGGGAUGAAAGCUGGGGGAGCAAACCGGAUUAGAUACCCGGGUAGUCCCAGCUGUAAACGAUGCAGACUCGGUGAUGCAUUGGCUUGUGGCCAAUGCAGUGCCGCAGGGAAGCCGUUAAGUCUGCCGCCUGGGAAGUACGUACGCAAGUAUGAAACUUAAAGGAAUUGGCGGGGGAGCAC
rnacentral:rRNA from 2 species